CUGUCGGUGUGUGUGUGUACUUGCAGGUCUGUGUAUGGCUGUGAGCAGGUGAGAUUGUGGGUCAGUCGGUGUGUGUGUGUACUUGCAGGUCUGUGUAUGGCUGUGAGCAGGUGAGAUUGUGGGUCAGUCGGUGUGUGUGUGUACUUGCAGGUCUGUGUAUGGCUGUGAGCAGGUGAGAUUGUGGGUCUGUCUGUGGGUGUGUGUACUUGCAGGUCUGUGUAUGGCUGUGAGCAGGUGAGAUUGUGGGUCAGUCGGUGUGUGUGUGUACUUGCAGGUCUGUGUAUGGCUGUGAGCAGGUGAGAUUGUGGGUCAGUCGGUGUGUGUGUGUACUUGCAGGUCUGUGUAUGGCUGUGAGCAGGUGAGAUUGUGGGUCAGUCGGUGUGUGUGUGUACUUGCAGGUCUGUGUAUGGCUGUGAGCAGGUGAGAUUGUGGGUCAGUCGGUGUGUGUGUGUACUUGCAGGUCUGUGUAUGGCUGUGAGCAGGUGAGAUUGUGGGUCAGUCGGUGUGUGUGUGUACUUGCAGGUCUGUGUAUGGCUGUGAGCAGGUGAGAUUGUGGGUCAGUCGGUGUGUGUGUGUACUUGCAGGUCUGUGUAUGGCUGUGAGCAGGUGAGAUUGUGGGUCAGUCGGUGUGUGUGUGUACUUGCAGGUCUGUGUAUGGCUGUGAGCAGGUGAGAUUGUGGGUCAGUCGGUGUGUGUGUGUACUUGCAGGUCUGUGUAUGGCUGUGAGCAGGUGAGAUUGUGGGUCUGUCUGUGGGUGUGUGUACUUGCAGGUCUGUGUAUGGCUGUGAGCAGGUGAGAUUGUGGGUCAGUCGGUGUGUGUGUGUACUUGCAGGUCUGUGUAUGGCUGUGAGCAGGUGAGAUUGUGGGUCUGUCUGUGGGUGUGUGUACUUGCAGGUCUGUGUAUGGUUGUGAGCAGGUGGGGUUGUGGGUUUGUAUGUGUGGGUAUAAGUUGGACUGUGGGAAUGUUGGUGUCUGUGUGCAGUGACCUGGAUCUCAGUGUGGGUGCAGCCUGGGUCUCCUUUGACCUUACUUGUGGGCUCCACUUUUCUGGGAAGGUAGCACCUGGCCUGGAAGAUUAGAUUUCAGGGAAUAGGGUCUCCAGUCAAUCAAUAUUGGCUGACCCUGAGUUCCUUGGGCACAGGUGAUGGGUGCCGG